GACAAUAUCUGAGAGAAUAAACGGAUGCCAGUUGAGCCCUUUACUUGGAAAGCCAGUCUACUUCAUGAUGUUGUGAAAAUUGGAUUCUGAUGCUGCCUCAUUUUGCCAUUCUCAGUUCAAAUUAAAUCUCUUGAAAACUUCCAUUAGCUCCUCAGGAAGUUUCAUGAUAGGAUGAAAAACAACAGGUACCCAAUAUUCUGAAGGAUGGCAUUCUGGAGUUGCCUAGGUUACUCACCAGGAUGCAUUAUCAUGCUAUGUCUCAUAUUCUUUUGGAGUAAAAAUGGGCAAGAUGUGAGACAUGGAAGUUAAGACUUCUGAUAAACUUGCAUCAUCGUCACUAUAAUCAAGAAUGUGAAAAUA